GAUGAACGCUGGCGGCGUGCCUAAUACAUGCAAGUCGAGCGAUUAUCCUCGGAGAUGGCUGGCGGACGGGUGAGUAACGCGUGGGUAACAUGCCCUGUACACACGGACAACAUGCCGAAGGGUACGUUAAUACGAGAUAAUAUGCUUCUAUUGAUUGGUUGAAGUACAAAAGUCUUUACUGUAAAGGAUGUAACCGCGUCCGUUUAGCUGGUUGCUAAGGGAACGGCUUACUAAGGCGACGAUCAGCAGCCGAGCUGAGAGGGUGAUCGGCCACAUUGGAGCGGAGACACAGUCCAAACUCCUACGCGAGGCAGCAGUGGGGAAUAUUGCACAAUGGGCGGAAGCCUGAUGCAGCAACGCCGCGUAAGCGAUGAAGGCCUUCGGGUCGUAAAGUUCUGUCCUCAAGGAAGAUAAUGACGGUACUUGAGGAGGAAGCCCCGGCUAACUACGUG
rnacentral:rRNA from 1 species